rnacentral:rRNA from 1 species
GGCGCAGCCUGAUGCGCCAUGCCGCGUGUGUGAAGAAGGCCUUCGGGUUGUAAAGCACUUUCAGUCGUGAGGAAGGUUCAUGCGUUAAUAGCGUAUGGAUUUGACGUUAGCGACAGAAGAAGCACCGGCUAACUCCGUGCCAGCAGCCGCGGUAAUACGGAGGGUGCGAGCGUUAAUCGGAAUUACUGGGCGUAAAGCGCAUGCAGGUGGUUCGUUAAGUCAGAUGUGAAAGCCCGGGGCUCAACCUCGGAACUGCAUUUGAAACUGGCGGACUAGAGUACUGUAGAGGGGGGUAGAAUUUCAGGUGUAGCGGUGAAAUGCGUAGAGAUCUGAAGGAAUACCGGUGGCGAAGGCGGCCCCCUGGACAGAUACUGACACUCAGAUGCGAAAGCGUGGGGAGCAAACAGGAUUAGAUACCCUGGUAGUCCACGCCGUAAACGAUGUCUACUUGGAGGUUGUGGCCUUGAGCCGUGGCUUUCGGAGCUAACGCGUUAAGUAGACCGCCUGGGGAGUACGGUCGCAAGAUUAAAACUCAAAUGAAUUGACGGGGGCCCGCACAAGCGGUGGAGCAUGUGGUUUAAUUCGAUGCAACGCGAAGAACCUUACCUACUCUUGACAUCUAGAGAAGCCAGCGGAGACGCAGGUGUGCCUUCGGGAACUCUAAGACAGGUGCUGCAUGGCUGUCGUCAGCUCGUGUUGUGAAAUGUUGGGUUAAGUCCCGCAACGAGCGCAACCCUUAUCCUUGUUUGCCAGCGAGUAAUGUCGGGAACUCCAGGGAGACUGCCGGUGAUAAACCGGAGGAAGGUGGGGACGACGUCAAGUCAUCAUGGCCCUUACGAGUAGGGCUACACACGUGCUACAAUGGCGCAUACAGAGGGCUGCCAACCAGCGAUGGUGAGCGAAUCCCAAAAAGUGCGUCGUAGUCCGGAUUGGAGUCUGCAACUCGACUCCAUGAAGUCGGAAUCGCUAGUAAUCGUGAAUCAGAAUGUCACGGUGAAUACGUUCCCGGGCCUUGUACACACCGCCCGUCACACCAUGGGAGUGGGCUGCAAAAGAAGUGGGUAGUUUAACCUUUCGAGGAGGACGCUCACCACUUUGUGGUCAUGAUGGGGACG